AGCAGCCGCGGUAAUUCCAGCUCCAAUAGCGUAUAUUAAAGUUGUUGCAGUUAAAAAGCUCGUAGUUGAAUUUCGGGGUCUGUCCAUUGGUCGGGCUUCACGGUCCGUACUGGUGUGAUGGGUUCCUACCUUCUGAAUAACCAGCAUGCCAUUCAGUUGGUGCGCCGGGGAAGCAGAGCUAUCACCUUGAAAAAAUUAGAGUGCUUAAAGCAGGCUAGUGCUUGAAUAGAUUAGCAUGGAAUAAUAAAAUAGGACGGCAUGGUUCUAUUUUGUUGGUUUCUAGGAUCACCGUAAUGAUUAAUAGGGAUAGUUGGGGGCAUUAGUAUUCAAUUGUCAGAGGUGAAAUUCUUGGAUUUAUUGAAGACUAACUUCUGCGAAAGCAUUUGCCAAGGAUGUUUUCAUUAAUCAAGAACGAAAGUUAGGGGAUCGAAGACGAUCAGAUACCGUCGUAGUCUUAACCAUAAACUAUGCCGACUAGGGAUCGGACGAUGUUAAUUUUUUAAUGACUCGUUCGGCG
rnacentral:rRNA from 1 species